rnacentral:rRNA from 1 species
UACGGAGGGGGCUAGCGUUGUUCGGAAUUACUGGGCGUAAAGCGCACGUAGGCGGCGAUUUAAGUCAGAGGUGAAAGCCCGGGGCUCAACCCCGGAACAGCCUUUGAGGCUGGAUUGCUUGAACAUCGGAGAGGUGAGUGGAAUUCCGAGUGUAGAGGUGAAAUUCGUAGAUAUUCGGAAGAACACCAGUGGCGAAGGCGGCUCACUGGACGAUUGUUGACGCUGAGGUGCGAAAGCGUGGGGAGCAAACAGG